rnacentral:misc_RNA from 1 species
UUUCCGUAGGCGAACCUGCGGAAGGAUCAUUAAAAAUAUCACUCGAUUGAGAGUGAUUUAAUAAUCAUCCUACCCUUUGUGAAUUUGUUUGUAAUGUUAAAUUUAUGUUGUCUAUCCCUUGGAAAGUUUGUUCAUUUAAACCCAAGGGAAUAGGCUUUCAUAGACCUUUUUUUUAAAAUUAAACAUUUUGUAUUCAUUUGUCUAAAUUUAUUUUUAAAAUAAUUUAAAAACAACUUUUGACAAUGGAUCUCUUGGUUCUCGCAACGAUAAAGAACGCAGCAAAAUGCGAUAAGUAAUGUGAAUUGCAGAAUACGUGAAUCAUCAAAUCUUCGAACGCAUAUUGCACUUUUUUAGUUUACUAAAAAGUAUGUCUGUUUGAGUAUCAGUAAAAUAUUCUCAUAAAAAAAAUUUUUUUUUUUUAUGGUCAUGAGUGUUUUACAACGAUAAACAAGUUGUUUCACUUUAAAUUGAUUUUUAAAAGCCAAUUUUCUUUGGUUUUUAUCUAAUAAAAUUGGAUAAAUUUUCCCGUAAAAAGGAAUAAACUUUUCAGUUUUAAAGGGUAAAAAUUAAGAUAUUAAUUGUUGCUUAAUUUAAAAGGAAAAUUUAAUUUAAAAAUAACUUGAUCUCAAAUCAGAUAAGAGUACCCGCUGAGCUUAAGCAUAUCAAUAAGCGGAGGAAAAGAAACUAACAAGGAUUCCCUUAGUAACGGCGAGUGAAGCGGGAAGAGCUCAAAUUUGAAAUCUUCAAGGUUCUACCUUGACGAAUUGUAGUUUAAAGAAGUGUUUUCUGUUAGAGGAGUAGCAAAAGUUCCUUGGAAUGGGACAUCAUAGAGGGUGAGAAUCCCGUAUUUGGUUAUUCUUUCUAGCUUUGUGAUACACUUUCAAAGAGUCGGAUUGUUUGGGAAUGCAGUCCAAAAUGGGUGGUAAAUUUCAUCUAAAGCUAAAUAUUGGCGAGAGACCGAUAGCGAACAAGUACCGUGAGGGAAAGAUGAAAGAACUUUGAAAGAGAGUUAAACAGUACGUGAAAUUGUCAAAAGGGAAGCGUUUGACACCAGUGUUGUUUUUCCGAAAAUCAAUUAAGAAGGGCUUGAUUUUGUGUUGUAUUGACCUUAUCAGCUUUCUUCACUCUUUUCGAGUCUUUCUUAAUGCACUUUUCGGUUAACAAGUCAACAUCAAUUUCUUUUGUUGUAAAAGGGUAUUUGGAAGGUGGCUUUCUUUUCGGAGAAAGUGUUUAUAGCCUUAUACCUCUACAAUCGGAGAGAUUGAGGUCUGCAGCGUAGAUCCUUCGGGGCUAGAUACACUUGUGCUAAGUUAUAGCUUUUCAUAGACAACUUGUUGACUAUGUUUAGUCAUGUAGCUUACCCGCUUGUGCUAUUUUACCUACGCUUAGGAUGUUGAA